UUUCAACCUGAAAAAAAAUCAGAGCCUGCAGAAGUGAAGCAUUCGUCUUAAAGUAUGCUUUAUAUUUUUUGCCAAUGUUUUGAGGAUAUCUUGUGAAGCCUUUUGAAAACACUCUGGGAGAAUGUUGCCAACAGACUUAGAAACCUAGGAGGAAAAAAAUAAUCAUCCAAAAUACUUUCUGUUCAUGAAGAUAUGUAACUUAGCGGUCCCUUGUGAUCUGGUGAAGGUUGGACGUCUGUGAUGGUAUUUGGGGUGUAACCCAAGUGGCCUUUUUAGCAGACGAUUAGACUGAACACAAAAGCAAAGUUGUCAGCAGUAAACGCCCCUCUAAAUCAGUUCUAGGAUGAACUAAAAACAAUUAAAAAUAUGCUAGGGAGGGAGUUUUUUAAAUUCUGUUUAUCCUGAUGUAUUUGUCCCUCAACUGAAAAUAUUUCCACUUUCUGAACACAGUUUUCAAAGUAGAAAUACAAGCAACACAGUCAUGCUCCAUUCGUCUUGUAGUUUAGAUUCACAAAGCAUAGCUGGGACUUUACUCACUCCUACCCACCGUGCUGCAAUGGCCUCCAUGUUACAGAGGACAAGUAGAGACACAAGGAGGCUUCCCAGGCCACCUGGAGUCGCAGUCCCUACGUGGGAAUGGCUGCACAGACCGCUGGGCCUCCUGGCUCCCAGGCCAGUGCUGUUUAGUCUAUCUAGCUUAGGAUUUCAAAACAUUUACUUCAGCUUAACUCACUUUGCUCCCAUUAUGGUCCAUUUGUGUGUGUCAGUCUUUAUCUCUGGACCUGAGUCAAGCUUCACCCCUUCUCCCACCUCCUCCUGUUUCAGAGGGGGAAAAAAAAAAUCAAAGCCUGACUAUGGAACACAUGUGCUUCUCAUCUGGGCUAUUUGGAGGGAUCGGGGAAAUCAGAAGUGUCGUUGGCUCUUCUGUGGGGAUGUUUCAACAUGCCCUUACACCUGGGUCCCACUUGCGCUGCUACUGUCCCAGUCUGAGCCUACUGCCUUCCAAGUCAACCUUCCAUCUUGUGCCUUUAUUCCCACUUGCAUCUCUUUGGCUUCUCUGUAUUUUAGAGGUUUGCUUUACCGGUCCAUGAAAAAUCGACUUUGUCUCUAUUCAGGGUAGAUGUGGAGGGGUGCAGCAAGAGGGUAGCAGAUCCAUUUGCGCUAAGACCUGGACUCACCCGCCGCCUCUCCAACUGGACAGAGUGGGCAGCCGUGACUCAUGGUACGAGUUUUCGCAAAGCAGCGAGCUGUGCAUACUGAUGUGACUUGCACGCCUUUUAGUGCAGGAAACCACCAACACUUCAAAGGAAGGAAUCCUUCUGAUAAGAGGCCAUGAACUCUGGGAAGAUGGCAGCCACCAGUGACAGGAGCCUCAUGGAGGAAAGGAAGAAGGUGCUAGACUCAAAGCCAGAAGAACUGAGUUCCAGCACCUGCUCUGGCCCUUACCAACUCUGUCGGCCGGGGCAGUUGGUCCACCUGUCUAAGGGUGAUGAUACUCCGCUAACACAGUGGGUUUUUUGAGAGAGUCUACUGAAAUCAUUGUGUAUAUGAAGCACUUUUAAAACUGUAAAGUG
rnacentral:lncRNA from 1 species